rnacentral:rRNA from 1 species
CCUACGGGUGGCAGCAGUGGGGAAUAUUGCGCAAUGGGCGAAAGCCUGACGCAGCGACGCCGCGUGAGGGAUGAAGGUCUUCGGAUCGUAAACCUCUGUCAGCAGGGAAGAACGGUCACUGUGCUAAGCAGCAGUGAAUUGACGGUACCUGCAAAGGAAGCACCGGCUAACUCCGUGCCAGCAGCCGCGGUACUACGGAGGGGGCAAGCGUUAUCCGGAUUGACGGGGUGUAAAGGGGGCGCAGACGGCAGCGCAAGCCAGGAGGGAAAGCCCGGGGCCCCACCCCGGGACUGCUCUUGGAGCUGCGCGGCUGGAGUGCAGGAGGGGCAGGCGGAAUUCCGGGUGUAGCGGUGAGAUGCGUAGCUAUCAGGAGGAACACCGGUGGCGACGGCGGCCUGCUGGACUGCGCCUGCCGUUGCGGCCCGAACGCGUGGGGAGCAACCAGGAUUAGAUACCCUAGUAGUC